UACGUAGGAUCCAAGCGUUGUCCGGAUUUACUGGGUGUAAAGGGUGCGCAGGCGGACUUAUAAGUCAGUGGUGAAAUCUCACAGCUUAACUGUGAAACUGCCUUUGAUACUGUAGGUCUUGAAUUAGGGAGAGAUUCGUGGAAAUUCCGAGUGUAGCAGUGAAAUGUGUAGAUAUUCGGAAGAACACCAGAGGCGAAGGCAGCGAAUUGGCCCUAUAUUGACGCUCAGGCACGAAAGCAUGGGGAUCAAACCAGG
rnacentral:rRNA from 1 species